rnacentral:rRNA from 1 species
UACAGAGGGGGCAAGCGUUGUUCGGAAUUAUUGGGCGUAAAGGGUGCGUAGGCGGUGCGGUAAGUCUUCUGUGAAAUCUACGGGCUCAACUCGUAGUCUGCAGGAGAAACUGCCGUGCUUGAGUAUGGGAGAGGUGAGUGGAAUUCCUGGUGUAGCGGUGAAAUGCGUAGAUAUCAGGAGGAACACCUGUGGCGAAGGCGGUUCUCUGGGACGGUACUGACGCUGAGACGCGAAAGCGUGGGGAGCGAACAGG